UACGUAGGGCGCAAGCGUUGUCCGGAAUUAUUGGGCGUAAAGAGCUCGUAGGCGGCUCGUUGCGUCGGCUGUGAAAACCCGCAGCUCAACUGUGGGCUUGCAGCCGAUACGGGCGGGCUGGAGUUCGGUAGGGGAGACUGGAAUUCCUGGUGUAGCGGUGAAAUGCGCAGAUAUCAGGAGGAACACCGGUGGCGAAGGCGGGUCUCUGGGCCGAUACUGACGCUGAGGAGCGAAAGCGUGGGGAGCGAACAGG
rnacentral:rRNA from 1 species